rnacentral:rRNA from 1 species
GUACACGCUGUGACUAGCAUAUCAAUAAGCGGAGGAAAAGAAACUAACAAGGAUUCCCCUAGUAACGGCGAGUGAAGCGGGAAGAGCUCAAAUUUGAAAUCUUAAAGGGUUUCCCUUUACGAAUUGUAGUUUAAAGAAGUGUUUUCUGUUGAGGUUUUGGUAAAAGUUCUUUGGAAUAGGACAUCAUAGAGGGUGAGAAUCCCGUAUUUGACCUUUACUUUCAACUUUGUGAUACACUUUCAAAGAGUCGGAUUGUUUGGGAAUGCAGUCCAAAAUGGGUGGUAAAUUUCAUCUAAAGCUAAAUAUUGGCGAGAGACCGAUAGCGAACAAGUACCGUGAGGGAAAGAUGAAAAGAACUUUGAAAAGAGAGUUAAACAGUACGUGAAAUUGUCAAAAGGGAAGCGUUUGACACCAGUGUUGUUUUUCUGAAAAUCAAUUAAAGAACUGUUUAUGCUAAGCUGUUUAGACUUUAUCAGCUAUCUGUUUAGUUUUGAGCUUUUCUUUAAUGCACUUUUCAGUUAACAAGUCUACAUCAAUUUCUUUUGCUGUAAAAAAGCUUGAGGAAGGUGGCUUGAGAUUCGUCUUAAGUGUUUAUAGCCUCUUGCCUAUGCAGUCGGAGAGAUUGAGGUCUGCAGCGUAGAUCCUUCGGGGCUAAAUGCAUUUGUGCUAAGUUAUAGCAUUUUAUAGACAACUUGUUGACUAUGAUUUGUCUUGUAGCUUACUCGCUUAUGUUAUUUUACCUACGCUUAGGAUGUUGAAGAUGUAGCACAUCAU